AGAUUGAGGGUGAGGUUAGAGUGGCACAUGGCUCUGUACCCCAUUGGGUACCUCCAGCAGGCCGGGCACUGCAGCCCCUUGGCCUCCGGCACUCUGCGAGGGAACAUGCUGGCAUGAGUUUGCUGGUCCCGAUGGGGAAGAGUCAGGGAUCCCUGAGAGAGCCUGUCAGGAGGAGAGAAGGGACGCCGGGGUGAAAGGGAGGAAGGAGGUGGCAGAAGAGGCCUCGAGGAUGACGUGGGGCUGUAGAUGCAGGAGGCAGCUGGAGCCUGUGGCACUGGGGCAUGGCGGGCCUCAAGGAUUUCACUGCCACCCUUGCCGAGGAGGGUACCCUGAGAUCCCUGGCUUCUUCCUGCAUGAUCCCUAGGCUUCCUCCCAAGGAGCUGGUGGUCAGAAUUCCUCAGCAGGUGAACAGAAAGCCAGGAAAACAUCUUCCCAGGGACCUUGCCCAGCCCCAGGUGCAGCUGUUGUUCUGGAAAAUUACUGCACUGCAUUUCAGAAGCAUCUCUAAUCCCCAAAUCUGUCAUCGCCUUGCCCACCCUGGCCCAGCUUUUGUAAAAGGGCAAAGAGAAGAGCAGGUGAGAAUCAAUUCACAGAAUCGCAGCCGUUCUGCCCCCUUCAGCUUCCAGCUCGGGCUCGCCUGGGAGCUGAGCCGCACCGGCUCUCUCUUUUGUCUGAAACAAGCAGCAGGAUUGUUUUGCUCAGUGUUGUCAGAGUUGUUUUUAAACAGCCGCCCAUCGUGCUGCAGGGAGGGAGGGCGAGACACAUGUGGAUCAACAAUGAGAUGGGUCUUGGCCUCGGGACGGGAUGCCCGGGUCGGGGAGUGCAGCUUUGAUCUGGCAGGCCGGCCUGAAGAACAAAGCCGGUCUCCUGGUCCCUCCUCGGCUGUGCCCAGCUGCACUCACUCUGAAGCUGAAUCUUGGCAGUUGUGAUUCUUCUGCUGGCAAAACGGAGAUGGCAGGCCCCCUGGGUCUGGGCUGUUGAAUGCCACGCGGGCAGGGGGCCUCUCCUUCCCCCACUGGCACGGGCUGUUGGAAACCCGUCAGUUCGGACUCUGAGCUGUGCCCCCCAACAGACAACAUAAUAGGACCCAAAUCAGAUACUCGUGAGCCAGGCAGUGACUUGGGCUCGCUUUGAUUGGUGUGUGAGGCACAAAUAAACAGAAAAUGUCUAUAAA
rnacentral:lncRNA from 1 species